rnacentral:rRNA from 1 species
GAUGAACGCUGGCGGCGUGCCUAAUACAUGCAAGUCGAGCGAACAGACGAGGAGCUUGCUCCUCUGACGUUAGCGGCGGACGGGUGAGUAACACGUGGAUAACCUACCUAUAAGACUGGGAUAACUUCGGGAAACCGGAGCUAAUACCGGAUAAUAUAUUGAACCGCAUGGUUCAAUAGUGAAAGACGGUUUUGCUGUCACUUAUAGAUGGAUCCCCGCCGCAUUAGGUAGUUGGUAAGGUAACGGCUUAUCAAGGCAACGAUGCGUAGCCGACGUGAGAGGGUGAUCGCCCACACUGGAGCUGAGACACGGUCCAGACUCCUACGGGAGGCAGCAGUAGGGAAUCUUCCGCAAUGGGCGAAAGCCUGACGGAACAGCGCCGCGUGAGUGAUGAAGAUCUUCGGAUCGUAAAACUCUGUUAUUAGGGAAGAACAAAUGUGUAAGUAACUAUGCACGUCUUGACGGUACCUAAUCAGAAAGCCACGGCUAACUACGUG